rnacentral:lncRNA from 1 species
GGUGAUCAAGGAAAGGGUAUGAUGUUUGAUUCUACUAUUAAACCUAUUUUAUGCAAGGUGAGAUAAGUUUUGGAAAAGGAGGCAAAGAAAGAAUCACUUUUAUUAAGUUGCUGGCCCUGGAGAGGGAAUGUUACCUACCCUACCAGUUCCCAUAUUUUAAGGAGCCUAGGGACCGUCAGGGUUCCCCUAAGCCGGCAUACGACUCAUUCUCAAAUUACUCUCUUUGGGCCUCAGCCCUAUCUCACCAUCACACAGCCUAUAAACACAUGAUUGCUAAUCAAUGGGAGCUUUAAUUAUGUGGGCUCGUGACCGUGAGUCUCGACUGUCCAGAUAGAUUUAUGACUCUGCAGAGUUUGUACACUUUACGCAUAUGUCCAGUCAGCCCAUACCUUCCGAUAGGUGGUACUGACCUACGAGAUCCAUACCCGCCCGUGCCUAUCUUUAGGCAGCAUUCCCUAGAUCCAUCCACGGAAAUACUGGGGUCUAAACAGGGGCGACUAUCAUCCGCUACGCGGAUAUCAACCUAGGAAAAUGUGCACAAAAUAAACAGGGCCUCUGCCCUCAGGGUCUCCGACCCUCUUAGUCAACCCAUGCCGAC